rnacentral:tRNA from 1 species
GAGGGUAUAGCUCAGUGGUAGAAUGCAUGCUUAGCAUGCACAAGGUCCUGGGUUCAAACCCCUGUACUUCUG